CAGCAGCCGCAGGAAUACGAAGGGUGCAAGCGUUAAUCGGAAUUACUGGGCGUAAAGCGUGCGCAGGCGGUUAUAUAAGACAGAUGUGAAAUCCCCGGGCUCAACCUGGGACCUGCAUUUGUGACUGUAUAGCUAGAGUACGGUAGAGGGGGAUGGAAUUCCGCGUGUAGCAGUGAAAUGCGUAGAUAUGCGGAGGAACACCGAUGGCGAAGGCAAUCCCCUGGACCUGUACUGACGCUCAUGCACGAAAGCGUGGGGAGCAAACAGGAUUAGAUACCCCUGUAGUCCCUGUCUCUUAUAU
rnacentral:rRNA from 1 species